AUGGAUUUCUCGGAGUCCGAAAAAUUUAUGGUUCUUCUCUGGAAGAAUUUUAUUUUAAAGAGGCGGCGAUGUAUUGCUUUAGUUGUGGAAAUGGUCCUCACAUUUCUGUUUAGUGCUGCACUUUUGGCAACACGCUCUGUUAUUACUAUAAAGAACGGACCUUUCGAUUUUGCUGCUCAGCCUGUCGAUGAAGUGCCUUUCUACAUCACAGCUUCCUUAAUUUCUCCUUCUCCUUUGGAAUUGGCUUACGUGCCUUCCAGAAGUACUGUGGUUCAGGGUAUUAUUGAAAGGGUGAAAAUGGAUUUAAACCCUCAAAUGAAAG
rnacentral:sRNA from 1 species